AUUGAACGCUGGCGGCAGGCCUAACACAUGCAAGUCGAGCGAGCGGCGGACGGGUGAGUAAUGUAUGGGGACUGCCCGAUAGAGGGGGAUAACUACUGGAAACGGUGGCUAAUACCGCAUACUAUCGGAUAACCCAUAUGGGAUUAGCUAGUAGGUGGGGUAAAGGCUCACCUACGCGACGAUCGCUAGCUGGGCUGAGCGGAGGAUCAGCCAAACGGGGGCUGAAACACGGCCCAGACUCCGACGGAGGCAGCAGUGGGGAAUAUUGCACAAUGGGCGAAAGCCUGAUGCAGCCAUGCCGAGUGUAUGAAGAAGGCCUGAGGGUUGUAAAGUACGUUCAGCGGGGAGGCGUUACCCGCAGAAGAAGCACCGGCUAACUCCGUGCCAGCAGCCGCGGUAAUUC
rnacentral:rRNA from 1 species